GGGUAUAGCUCAAUUGGUAGAGCGGCGGUCUCCAAAACCGUAGGCUCAGGGUUCAAGUCCUUGUGCC
rnacentral:tRNA from 1 species